rnacentral:rRNA from 1 species
UACGUAGGGGCCUAGCGUUGUCCGGAUUUAUUGGGCGUAAAGAGCUCGUAGGCGGUUUGGUGAGUCGGGUGUGAAAUCUCCACGCUCAACGUGGAGGGGCCACCCGAUACUGCCAUGACUAGAGUCCGGUAGGGGAGUGUGGAAUUCCCGGUGUAGCGGUGAAAUGCGCAGAUAUCAGGUGGAACACCCGUAGCGAAGGCGGCACUCUGGGCCGGAACUGACGCUGAGGAGCGAAAGCGUGGGGAGCGAACAGG